GUUAAGCAGCUGGUAUUCAGAUUUUGUCUGUGAGGAUUGAGGAUUACUAUACUAAAUUACGUGUAUAAUAAAGUAAGAUCAAAUUUAAUAUUCUCUAAGUAUUUGCAACAAAGUGUAUUUAUCUCAAAUUACCGGCGUCUAUUGUUGACAUCUGAACUCAGUAGAAAUCAGGGGAAAAGGAGCAUUAAUAAUGUAAUAAAAUAAAUAUGGAAAAUUUGAAUCAUAAAAUAUCACAACUUGAACAUUAAACAGCUAGUAUAACGAAAUUGAAGAAAAAUGUAUGGAACACAAAAACAAAUUAUAAUUCGCCUUUUAUUCUGGAAGACGCUAUUAAACGUCUGUUCCGCAGAAAUCGUAAAAAGAUCGCCUCUUGAACUCGGCUUUGUGACGUUUCCUGAAGUUGAGAAGUCGAGAUUUGUUUUAUUUAAUAUGACUAAAGUAGAGGAAGUGAAGUCGCCAGAA
rnacentral:lncRNA from 1 species